rnacentral:rRNA from 1 species
UACGAGGGGUCCUAGCGUUGUUCGGAAUCAUUGGGCGUAAAGCGUCUGUAGGCGGCUUUGUAAGUCGGGUGUGAAAGCCCCAGGCUCAACCUGGGAAGUGCAUUCGAUACUGCAUAGCUUGAAUGUUGGAGAGGAUAGUAGAAUUCCAGGUGUAGUGGUGAAAUACGUAGAUAUCUGGAGGAAUACCGGUGGCGAAGGCGGCUAUCUGGCCAAACAUUGACGCUGAGAGACGAAAGCAUGGGGAUCAAACAGGAUUAGAAACCCCCGUAGUCC